CCACACACUUUGAGUCGAAGUGCAGCAGCAAGCACAGCGCGUUUGUUAUUGUUCUUGUUGUUGCUUAGUUGUCAACGUAUUGCGGGUAUUUUGAGCAAAUAACAGCUGUGCGAAAUUGAAACGAGACAAACUAAUAUUAUAUUGGAUAACGAAGAGAGUCGUGGUGAUUUUAUUGGCCAACAAACCACGCCGACAGAGUUGGAAAUUUGCGGUGAUCCCUACACGGAAAUUGCACUGGAUCUAGUCUUCCCAAAGGGGAAUCCGACAUUCCUGCUGGAAAGAAAAAACUUGCAGCUGCUGUAGCCGCUCGAUCGCGAUGAAGAAAAUCUGAGUCACAAUAUCUUUCAGAGCAUUCCGGUUGGCACGACGAUCUUCCGCCGCAUUCAGGCGUUGGACAAGGAUGCCGGUGUUAAUGGACUCGUCGAGUAUUUUAUUGUUGAGGGCAGCACAAACACAACGGAAGAUGAGACAAUGACAAUUGCGGAUGGUUUGCAAUUUCCUUUCCCCAUCAAGGGCAGGUGACUGUGGCCAAAACGCUGGAUUAUGAGAAGGUGCAACGUUAUUGUCUAACAAUCAUCGCAGCGCUGAAACCCUAAGCAAUGCAAUGGCCCAUUGAUGAGGUAGAUGCCGGUCAGCAAUGUGUGGCGGCGGCUGGAGCAGCAGAAGCGCAAAUGGUCCUAACAGCGCCAGCGCUACCACAAUUGACAGUUGUGAGCAUGCUAUUCACAUAACUCAAAUAUUCAACGCACCAUCAACGGCCCCGUCAUCUCUUGGUUUCUGGUGUUAUUAGCAGCUCAGCAUUCUUCUUCGUCGAUUGAUACGAGCUCAUGUAAGAAGGUAAGUAUUUUUUAGGUGUUUC